UACGUAGGGCGCAAGCGUUGUCCGGAAUUAUUGGGCGUAAAGAGCUCGUAGGUGGCUUGUCACGUCGGGUGUGAAAGCUUGGGGCUUAACUCCAGGUCUGCAUUCGAUACGGGCUGGCUAGAGGUAGGUAGGGGAGAACGGAAUUCCUGGUGUAGCGGUGAAAUGCGCAGAUAUCAGGAGGAACACCGGUGGCGAAGGCGGUUCUCUGGGCCUUACCUGACGCUGAGGAGCGAAAGCCAGGGGAGCAAACGGG
rnacentral:rRNA from 1 species